GUGUUGUAAGAAAGGAGAGAAGGUUAGCACUCCCCUUGAUAAGGAUGGAAGAGGUCCUAGUGGCCUUUACAACACAUAUACGGUUAAGGCAUUGCCACCUACUCUGUGGCAUGUAACCAUAUUUUUGA
ensembl:snRNA